rnacentral:lncRNA from 1 species
CGUGCUUCAGGCAUUGAGCCUUAACUAGUACAGUGUACAUUAAAUUUGACAUAAGGCAUAAGCAAGGGUACUUUAAAGACCCCCUCUGACCUAUCUAUUUGGAAAUAAGGUUACAAACCUGGAUUCUAAAAUUCUUCCUACUAUUUUGGAUCUCAAAUAUACACCAUUACAAUGCAAAUAGUCAAGAUUAUCACAGCCUAUGAUAGUAUCUCUUCUUCCAUGUUAAAAGUGCAAUAAACAAGCAAGGCUUAUCUGUUAUCUUGAGGAAUGGUAUUCACUUUGGGAGGUGUGAUGAACAAAACAAUUUCAGCUCCAUAAUGUGAAAGCAUCAGUCAUCAGAACUAUAAUCACUGGAUUCUUGCAACAUCUCUGGAGCAGCACAGCAGAAUGAUUCCUUGUCUUUGAGAAAAAGACAGCUCCCAUCGGAGUUCCAUUUCAGAUCAAUUACAGCAAAUUGAGGCAAUGGAACAUUUAUGCAAUAAGCACCAGAAGGUGUCCACAUGUAUAAGUGGGAGCUUCCAGUACAUAAAACCAAACGUGGACAUGUGGGAUCCCAGGCUGCAGCUCGGAUGGAAUCUUUUUGAAUUAAGAUGGCGGCUAGCUCAAGAUGGUUUAUGUCCCAUAUCCAGAGUACAGUAGGCAUGCUAUCAUUGCGAGUGCAAACAUAUUGGCUAUCGCAGCUCCAUGACAUGAGGCCUGCAAUUAAUUUUCACAUAUGACAGUUAACAAGGUACUCACUUAUGGGACUUGAGAGUAGUUUCUCUUAAGGAAGAUUCCAAAAAUAACCACCCAAAACAAGCUUCUGCUUGUGGAUCUUAGAUAGAUAAAUUCAGAGAGGUUUUGUAUUGAUCCUUGACCAGAGGCGGAUUCAUAGAGUUAAAUAUGAGGCACGUGAACCCAUGAUCUCUCCACAAAAUUAAAUAUUUUAUGUAAAUAUUUUUUUAAAUUAGUAUAAUAUUAACUGUUGGCACUCAUACUCUAAAAAGGUUGAAUGGUGCACUUGGUUUAAGGUUGAGUUAUUUUACCAAGAGAAAGAGGGGAUCAAUUCCCACUUAAUACAUUUUUUCCUCUUUUUUUUAAGUAGCGCACCCAUAUACUAGAAAUCUUAGAUCCGCCUCUGUCCUUGACGAUGAAGAUACUAGGCUGAUACAGCUUACUUUGACUGAGAUCAGAUUCUCACCAAACAGGCAGCUAACAGUCCUCAUUAAGAUAUUAGAACAUUAUCAUCUACAACUUAUUGCUCAAGCCAAUAAAUUUUAUAGAGGUUUGAAAUUGUUAAGAAAGAAAACAAGAAAUUGGAACUACAUGGCCACUAAAAAGAUAAUAAAUUUUCAAGAUCUCCUAUACGAACAUCCGAUCAUUUAACUUCAGUAAACAUUUGCCAUACGUGGAGUGACAUUCAUAAAUAAACAGGAACAGUUAAAGAGUAGGAAGACAAAAGAUAGUGAUGAUAUAUUUCUCACAUUACAAAAUAUUGGAACCAAAGACUUACUGAUUCCUUGCUUGGGAUUUGGCUUAUCUGCAGGAGGUUUCUGAGAAGGGAGACUGAUAGGUAUCUCCAAAACAUUGUACCUGACUUGAAUAUGUGACUC